rnacentral:rRNA from 2 species
UAGAGUGUUUAAAGCAGGCUCACGCUUGAAUACAUUAGCAUGGAAUAAUGAAAUAGGACAUCCGAUUCUAUUUUGUUGGUUUCUAGGAUCGAUGUAAUGAUUAAUAGGGAUAGUUGGGGGCAUUAGUAUUCAAUUGUCAGAGGUGAAAUUCUUGGAUUUAUUGAAGACUAACUACUGCGAAAGCAUUUGCCAAGGAUGUUUUCAUUAAUCAAGAACGAAAGUUAGGGGAUCGAAGACGAUCAGAUACCGUCGUAGUCUUAACCAUAAACUAUGCCGAUUAGGGAUCGGACGACGUUACUUUUUGACCCGUUCGGCGCCUUACGGGAAAC